rnacentral:rRNA from 1 species
GUGGGGAAUCUUCCGCAAUGGACGAAAGUCUGACGGAGCAACGCCGCGUGAACAAUGACGGCCUUCGGGUUGUAAAGUUCUGUUAUACGGGACGAAUGGUACGACGGCCAAUACCCGUCGUAAGUGACGGUACCGUAAGAGAAAGCCACGGCUAACUACGUGCCAGCAGCCGCGGUAAUACGUAGGUGGCAAGCGUUGUCCGGAAUUAUUGGGCGUAAAGGGCGCGCAGGCGGCGUCGUAAGUCGGUCUUAAAAGUGCGGGGCUUAACCCCGUGAGGGGACCGAAACUGCGAUGCUAGAGUAUCGGAGAGGAAAGCGGAAUUCCCCGUGUAGCGGUGAAAUGCGUAGAUAUGGGGAGGAACACCAGUGGCGAAGGCGGCUUUCUGGACGGUGUCUGACACUGAGGCGCGAAAGCCAGGGGAGCGAACGGGAUUAGAAACCCGUGUAGUCC